rnacentral:rRNA from 1 species
UCAGAAACUACAAAGGAAGUUGACGGGGCCCGCACAAGCGGUGGAGCAUGUGGUUUAAUUCGAAGCAACGCGAAGAACCUUACCAGGCCUUGACAUGCAGAGAACUUUCCAGAGAUGGAUUGGUGCCUUCGGGAACUCUGACACAGGUGCUGCAUGGCUGUCGUCAGCCCGUGUCGUGAGAUGUUGGGUUAAGUCCCGUAACGAGCGCAACCCUUGUCCUUAGUUACCAGCACGUUAUGGUGGGCACUCUAAGGAGACUGCCGGUGACAAACCGGAGGAAGGUGGGGAUGACGUCAAGUCGUCAUGGCCCUUACGGCCUGGGCUACACACGUGCUACAAUGGUCGGUACAAAGGGUUGCCAAGCCGCGAGGUGGAGCUAAUCCCAUAAAACCGAUCGUAGUCCGGAUCGCAGUCUGCAACUCGACUGCGUGAAGUCGGAAUCGCUAGUAAUCGUGAAUCAGAAUGUCACGGUGAAUACGUUCCCGGGCCUU